GCUUACGGCCAUACCACCCUGAACACGCCCGAUCUCAUCCGAUCUCAGAAGCCAAGCAGGGUAGGGCCUUGUUAGUACUUGGAUGGGAGACCGCCUGGGAAUACCAGGUGCUGUAAGCU
rnacentral:rRNA from 1 species